GUUGCCAUAGUUGUGCUAGCCAGCUGUCGGCGUUUCCCAUCAGUGCCUCAGGGGUGUCCAUCUCCACCACUUGUCCAUCGUGUAGCACCAUGAUGCGGUCACAGUCCAUGAUGGUGCUGAGUCGCAGCGCUCUUGCCAGUGAGAACAGCUGCCGUUCCCCUACACUCAAAUUAACCCCACCCUCUUCAAUGCGAUGUUCGAGGUCAUAGCCCCACUUGUCCAUCACUGGCAAGAGGUUGACGUCGCUUAGAGCGCUCCAGAUCUCGUCGUCCGUGUACAUGUCGAGCGGGUCAAGAUUACUCCUGAUAGUUCCACUCAGCAACGUCGGGUUUUGCUGAAUCACGGAGACAACCUGUCUUGUAGACUGCAGGUUGAGCCCGCGUAUAUCAACAUCAUCUAUGUGUAUCCCGGAUGAGGCCUCGGGCAUGCGCAUUAGCGAGGCCACAAUAGAUGACUUGCCGGCCCCAGUCCUCCCAGCGAUGCCGAUUUUCUGCUGAGGCUCAAUGCUGAACGUCACGCCCUUCAGGACUUGGGGUCCAUCGCUGUAGUAUCGGAGAGACACGUAACUGAAUGACACCGCUCCAUGUCGAGGCCAGCCACAUGGUGGUGUUUUUGUGAUCUGAUAGGCCGGUUCCGGGCUGAGCCUGCAGUACUCCAUUACCCGCUGGACUGAUGUCAUUGCGUCUUGAAGGAAGCCAGCGGACUUUAUAACAAACGCGGUAUCUAUCACGAGCAUCAUGGAAUAAGUGAUGGCCAAUCCAAUAAAACCUGUCAAUAAUGAAUAGUAUGAAUGCGUGUUCUUAUAGGGUCAGUGACGGCGGCAGAAGGGGCGCAUAUUUAUGGCGAACGAGCUUUUACCUUUUAACACUAAAAAUAUUAUUCUUCGGGAGAAAAAUGUCCCAGGUAGAUAGUAAAUUGCAAAAUAUGUCCAAAUAGAUAAACAACCAAACGAUGAAGUAAAUAUUGCUUGGAAUUUCAA